AGAGUUUGAUCCUGGCUCAGGACGAACGCUGGCGGUGUGCUUCACACAUGCAAGUCGAACGAGGUAGCAAUACCUAGUGGCGGACGGGUGAGUAACGCGUGGGAAUCUGCCUUUAGAUGGGGGAUAACGAGCCGAAAGGUUCGCUAAUACCGCAUAUGCCGCAAGGUGAAAGGAGUAAUCCGUCUAAAGAUGAGCCCGCGUCCGAUUAGCUAGUUGGUGGGGUAAAGGCCUACCAAGGCGACGAUCGGUAGCUGGUCUGAGAGGAUGAUCAGCCACAAUGGGACUGAGACACGGCCCAUACUCCUACGGGAGGCAGCAGUGGGGAAUUUUACGCAAUGGGGGAAACCCUGACGUAGCGACACCGCGUGAGCGAAGAAGCCCCUUGGGGUGUAAAGCUCUGUCAGCUGGAACGAAACAAAUGACGGUACCAGCAGAGGAAGCAUCGGCUAACUACGUGCCAGCAGCCGCGGUAAGACGUAGGAUGCGAGCGUUGUCCGGAUUUAUUGGGCGUAAAGAGUUCGUAGGUGGUUUGUUAAGUUUGAUGUUAAAGAUCGGGGCUCAACCUCGGGACAGCAUUGAAUACUGGCAGACUUGAGUAUGGUAGAGGCUAGUGGAAUUCCCAGUGUAGCGGUGAAAUGCGU
rnacentral:rRNA from 1 species